UUUUAUCUUUCCAUGCCCCUUGGCAAUCAUUAUCCUACCUGACUGUUUGAUCUCUCUCUUUUUUUUUGUUUCGGUUCAGGUAUUUCUUGCAUCGUUUUCCUUUAUAUCUUUUCUUUUUUCUUUUUCUUUCUUUUUUUUUUAUUUUUUUCCAGGACCAACCUCGAUUCCUCUUUCAUUCGGCGGACAUCACUCCAUAAGUGCACCGAUUCGGACUCAACAGUCUGAGUUAUCUCCACCUGUCAAACAACUUGAUCACGUCCACCGGAUGCCCUUUUUUCUUUUUGGGACUUUGUCAUCAUGUCAUCAACAUGGCAUUCGCUUUCACGAUGAAUCAUAUCAUGAAAC
rnacentral:lncRNA from 1 species